GACACAACGGUAUUUUUUGUUUUUUAAAACUCUUCACGUUUAUUAUUUUAUAGUAUAAUAAGUGUGUGCGGAGGAGAGAAAAUUCAAGCUGAGUGUUCUUGAAUUAAAAAACGCCCUCCACUAAAAAGGCACUUGGACUUCCACGGAAAAGUCGAUGGUUCAUAGUUGAAUAGUUAAUAGAUCACCGUCCACGCAUGUACCAUAUAUUAGUAAAUAAUAAACUUAUAAAAGAAAGCAUACUCUGAGAGCAUGACUAUGCCUAGGUGUUGUAGGUGCUCAAAAAAUGGUUAUUAGUGCAUCUAAGUAACACGUGAGCAUCGUGAGCUGUGAUAAAUACUGUAAAUGUUUUCAGUUUUUUUAUGGAAUGAUUCGAAAUGACAACACGACAUUGGACACAAACGAUAUUAAAGAAUAAUAUUUGAAAUUAUUCGUAGUUUUUAGGAAACCGAAAAAACUUCUAGAUAAUGAAUAAAAAAAUAACCACGAAUUUAUUAUUUACAUUACAAGUGCCAACAUCUAUGUAGCGUAGUAAGUUAUUAUUAUUUUUUUAAAUUUUUAAAUUUUACAUAUUACAUGAGUAUUUCAGCAUAUUAUUAUGUUAUUAUUGUAAUACCGUUGUGAGACCAAUUAAUAGAUGAACGUUAUGUAUCAUAUUUUUAUAAUUGUCUGUAACAAUAUUGAAUGUAGA